rnacentral:rRNA from 1 species
CCUACGGGAGGCUGCAGUGAGGAAUAUUGGUCAAUGGACGAGAGUCUGAACCAGCCAAGUAGCGUGAAGGAUGACUGCCCUAUGGGUUGUAAACUUCUUUUAUAUGGGAAUAAAAUGUUCCACGUGUGGGAUUUUGUAUGUACCAUAUGAAUAAGGAUCGGCCAACUCCGUGCCAGCAGCCGCGGUAAUACGGAGGAUCCGAGCGUUAUCCGGAUUUAUUGGGUUUAAAGGGAGCGUAGGUGGAUUGUUAAGUCAGUUGUGAAAGUUUGCGGCUCAACCGUAAAAUUGCAGUUGAAACUGGCAGUCUUGAGUGCAGUAGAGGUGUGCGGAAUUCGUGGUGUAGCGGUGAAAUGCUUAGAUAUCACGAAGAACUCCGAUUGCGAAGGCAGUUCACUGGACUGCAACUGACACUGAGGCUCGAAAGUGUGGGUAUCAAACAGGAUUAGAUACCCUUGUAGUC